AACGCACAUUGCGCCCACUGGUAUUCCGGUGGGCAUGCCUGUCUGAGCGUCAGUAUAAUCUCAAGCAACCGCUUGGUAUUGGAAGAUGAGCUGCCUAGCAGUUCACUUCUUAAACUGAUUGGCAAGUUUACAUAGCAGCAAGCGUAGUAGAAAUACCAUCAGCUUAGUUACUCUGUAUAGCUUUGUCAAAAUCAAACUAUUUUUAAGGUUUGACCUCAGAUCAGGUAAGGAUACCCCCUGAACUUAA
rnacentral:misc_RNA from 1 species